rnacentral:rRNA from 1 species
AGUGAACGCUGGCGGCAUGACACAUGCAAGUCGAACGGUAACAGGCCCGCAAGGGUGCUGACGAGUGGCGGACGGGUGAGGAAUACAUCGGAAUUUGCCCAGUCGUGGGGGAUAACGUAGGGAAACUUACGCUAAUACCGCAUACGACACCGUGUUGAAAGAUACGGGGUGAAAGCGGGGGAUCUGUAAGGACCUCGCGCGAGUGGAUGAGCCGAUGUCGGAUUAGCUAGUUGGCGGGGUAAAGGCCCACCAAGGCGACGAUCCGUAGCUGGUCUGAGAGGAUGAUCAGCCACACUGGGACUGAGACACGGCCCAGACUCCUACGGGAGGCAGCAGUGGGGAAUAUUGGACAAUGGGGGCAACCCUGAUCCAGCAAUGCCGCGUGUGUGAAGAAGGCCUUCGGGUUGUAAAGCACUUUUAUCCGGAACGAAACGCGCAGGGUGAAUAUCCUUGCGAACUGACGGUACCGGAGGAAUAAGCACCGGCUAACUUCGUGCCAGCAGCCGCGGUAAUACGAAGGGUGCAAGCGUUACUCGGAAUUACUGGGCGUAAAGGGUGCGUAGGUGGUUGUUUAAGUCUGUUGUGAAAGCCCCGGGCUCAACCUGGGAAUGGCAAUGGAUACUGGACAGCUAGAGUGCGGUAGAGGGUAGUGGAAUUCCCGGUGUAGCAGUGAAAUGCGUAGAGAUCGGGAGGAACACCAGUGGCGAAGGCGGCUACCUGGACCAGCACUGACACUGAAGCACGAAAGCGUGGGGAGCAAACAGGAUUAGAUACCCUGGUAGUCCACGCCCUAAACGAUGCGAACUGGACGUUGGGAGCAACUUGGCUCUCAGUGUCGAAGCUAACGCGUUAAGUUCGCCGCCUGGGGAGUANGGUCGCAAGACUG